GAUGAAGAACGCAGCGAAAUGCGAUACUUGGUGUGAAUUGCAGAAUCCCGUGAACCAUCGAGUCUUUGAACGCAAGUUGCGCCCGAAGCCAUUAGGCCGAGGGCACGCCUGCCUGGGCGUCACACGUCGUUGCCCCCCCAUCUACUCCUUCGGGAUUGCGGGGGGCGGGUGAUGGCCUCCCGUGCGCCUCGUCGCGCGGUUGGCAUAAAUGCCAAGUCCUCGGCGACGCACGCCACGACAAUCGGUGGUUGCGAAACCUCGGUUGCCCGUCGUGUGCGGUCGUCGCGCAUCGAGGGCUCGAAAAAAUUGCCGGGCUCCGGCUCGGCUUUCAACGCGACCCCAGGUCAGGCGGGGUUACCCGCUGAAUUUAAGCAUAUCAAUAGCGGAGGA
rnacentral:misc_RNA from 1 species